rnacentral:rRNA from 1 species
UACGGAGGGUGCGAGCGUUGCCCGGAAUCAUUGGGCGUAAAGGGCGCGUAGGUGGCCCAGUAAGCGUGCGGUGAAAGCUCGGGGCUCAACCCCGAGUCGGCCGUGCGAACUGUUUUGCUGGAGCACUGUAGAGGCAGGCGGAAUUCCGGGUGUAGCGGUGGAAUGCGUAGAGAUCCGGAAGAACACCGAUGGCGAAGGCACUCUACUGGGCUAUUACUGACACUCAGAGACGAAAGCUAGGGGAGCAAAUGGG